CUGCUCGGGUGGUAACAUCUCAUCUCCCUGCUUGAGCUACCUGCCAUUACAAGGGUCUCUGCACUGAGGUCUUCUCAAGCAGUCUGUAUUUUCCCCUUACAUAAAAGAAAGACCUGGCCUUUAUUAUACAGUAACUGUGUGUUUCCACAAGGCAACUCCAUGACUAUCACAAACUCAGAUUGAUUCUGGAGGCAAAGAGAAGACAGGAGGAGGAUGCAGCUUUGUUACUAAGAGCAAAGAGCCUCAGCAGCCGAAGUGUCAAAGUGUACUGUUUAAUAGUGGUUACGGCUGAGGAGCUGCGGUAUCUCCCUUGCCUGGACCAUCUCCUGCCUGUUUCAGAUGCACAAAUAAAACAGGAACGAGGAGGCAUAACCACUAGUAACCUCACCCAGCAAGAUGGAACACACAUUCCUUGGUACUCCUUGUCAGACACAGCCCUGGCCCCGGUCCUCAGAUGCUACCAAACUGCAAAUGGAGAGCUGAUCUUGGGCAGAAUUACUAGGCAACAGGGACUCUCCAG